rnacentral:lncRNA from 1 species
GAUUUCCUAUCUUUUCUUGUUAUGAAGAUGCCACUUAAGGCCACUGAGAGAGAUGUUUACGAGUUCUUUUCACAAGCAGGAAAGGUAUGUGAGGAUUUUGAAAUCAUUAAAGUGUUUAAAAUGCUACCUUUUCUUUAUUAUUCACAAGUGUAUAAUCAUUUCGAGGCAUAUAAUCACUGUACUAAUGUAGAAUGCAUAUUCUGCUGUACAGAAUUUCCUGAUUAUUAUUAAUUGUUAUUGUAAGUCAUCACUUCUUGAUUAUAUCUUUCUUAUCAGCCGAUUAUUAGGAAUCGACACUGUAAGUUGUUACUUCUUAAUUAUAGUUUUCUUAUCAAAAUGCAUCUCCUUCCUAUUGUUGUAAAUGCACAUCCACUUCAUUUACAAUUUGUGUAAAUGCUUUCUUGGGUAUUUACUGUUGACCUACAGUUGACUUCUC